rnacentral:rRNA from 1 species
AAUAAAUGCUAUUGGUAUGCUUAACACAUGCAAGUCGAGCGCCCUGCAAGGGGAGCGGCAGACGGGUGAGUAACGCGUGGGAACGUACCCUUUUCUACGGAAUAACGCAGGGAAACUUGUGCUAAUACCGUAUACGCCCUUUUGGGGAAAGAUUUAUCGGGGAAGGAUCGGCCCGCGUUGGAUUAGCUAGUUGGUGGGGUAAAGGCCUACCAAGGCGACGAUCCAUAGCUGGUCUGAGAGGAUGAUCAGCCACAUUGGGACUGAGACACGGUCCGGACUCCUACGGGAGGCAGCAGUGGGGAAUAUUGGACAAUGGGCGCAAGCCUGAUCCAGCAAUGCCGCGUGUGUGAAGAAGG